rnacentral:rRNA from 1 species
GACGAACGCUGGCGGCGUGCUUAACACAUGCAAGUCGAGCGGGUAAGGCCCUUUCGGGGGUACACGAGCGGCGAACGGGUGAGUAACACGUGGGUGACCUGCCCUCAGCUCUGGGAUAAGCCUGGGAAACCGGGUCUAAUACCGGAUAUGACUCCAUGACGCAUGUUGUGGGGUGAAAGCCUUGUGCGGCUGAGGAUGGGCCCGCGGCCUAUCAGCUUGUUGGUGGGGUGAUAGCCUACCAAGGCGACGAC